CGGAGGGUGCAAGCGUUAUCCGGAUUUACUGGGUUUAAAGGGUGUGUAGGCGGGCUUUUAAGUCAGUGGUGAAAUCUCCGGGCUCAACCUGGAAACUGCCAUUGAUACUAUUAGUCUUGAAUUUUGUUGAGGUAGGCGGAAUAAGUCAUGUAGCGGUGAAAUGCAUAGAUAUGACUUAGAACACCAAUUGCGAAGGCAGCUUGCUAAACAAAUAUUGACGCUGAGGCACGAAAGCGUGGGGAUCAAACAGGAUUAGAUACCCUGGUAGUCCACGCCCUAAACGAUGAUUACUCGACAUACGCGAUACACAGUGUGUGUCUGAGCGAAAGCAUUAAGUAUGCCGCCUGGGGAGUACGGUCGCAAGGCUG
rnacentral:rRNA from 1 species